rnacentral:rRNA from 1 species
GUGUCAGCCGCCGCGGUAAUACCGGCAGCUCAAGUGAUGACCGAUUUUAUUGGGCCUAAAGCGUCCGUAGCUGGCCGCACAAGUCCAUCGGAAAAUCCACCCGCCCAACGGGUGGGCGUCCGGUGGAAACUGUGUGGCUUGGGACCGGAAGGCGCGACGGGUACGUCCGGGGUAGGAGUGGAAUCCCGUAAUCCUGGACGGACCGCCGAUGGCGAAAGCACGUCGCGAGGACGGAUCCGACAGUGGGGGACGAAAGCCAGGGUCUCGAACCGGAUUAGAAACCCGUGUAGUCC